rnacentral:lncRNA from 1 species
UAUUUUAAAGGAGGGAAAAAAAACCUAUUUUUAGAAUAAAUGUUAUAAAUUUGCCUUUCUACUUAAGUUUCCUACAAGUGGCUCUUCUUUUCUGAGAAUAGUAAUACAAAGGCUAAAUUGUUACCUUAUGUUUUCAUUGGGUAGGUUUGUGACCACUGACAGUUAUAAUUUACAAAAAUUACAAUGAUUAUAGACAUUAACAUACUUGACGGCAGCUAUUAUUUUUAUUUGAAAUACAAAGACUUUCAGUGGGUAGUGGACAUUAAAACCUUGUCUAUAGAUGCCAAG